GUCUACAAUAAGCUGCCAUGGAGUAGUGCUCCGUGGAACACACAGCAUAGAGUAGCAGCAAAUUAACCUUUUCUGUGUGUGAACAGUGUGGAAGAUUGCUACAUCGUAGCUUGGGACUGCAUGUAGGCCAAGCUUUACAAAGAGCCAAGACUAUUGGAGUUGAAAAACAUCAGUGAUCCAGUAUAAUCACACUGGGAGAAGGGAAAAUGGUGAUGAAAUGUGCAGUCAGCAAUCUGGAUUGCAGAGGAAGACCUGUGGGUAUUCAUGGCAUGGAAUGGAGACUGGAAGCUGUCACACACAAAGGGAAAAAAAUCGGCAGACUGAGCAGCUUACUGGGAAAAUUUUAAAACUCUGGUUCAAUUUGAAGGUCAUUACAACAAGCAUUCAAUCUUGACCACUUUAAGAGAAAAUUACUUGUUCUGUAGAAACAUGUUAAAGAUAAUGGACACUCUCCAUGAGAUGGAAACACAAAACAUCCAGUGCUUCAAAAGAAGUCACUUUUGUAGCUUGGAAUAUUAGUGUUCAGAAAAUAUGGAGCAAACUCCUUGUGAUAGGGAUCCAGUGGAUUUCUUCAUCCACGUGCUUUGUCAAACUGACUGAUGAGAUUUGCACUAUUCAGCAUUUUUUUCUAUUGAGAAGGCUAUGCCCUUAGGGUAUUAUGACAGACAUUAAGAAAUACCUAAGUGAAAAGAGCAACUUUAAAGCCUCUUCCAUGACCCUAAAGAAAUUCUCACAAAAAUUUCUGAAUUAAUAUAAAAGUUAUUCAAACCAACCUGCAAGGCUGCGCUUUGUAAAUAUUAUAAGGUAAUUUUAUAUCUUCUGUGUUCUGUUUUGCUGAUUUGAUUGCUAAAGUGAACUUUCAACAAAAGGAAAAAAUCUAGUACAGCAGCCAAGGCUAUGGAAGGCCAAGAAUUGUGAGAAUUUGCGGCCAGGCCUGCACAGUGCUGAGCUAGCUGACUGGAUCUUGUGUUUAACUAGGUGAGUGUUUGUUUUACAAAAGUGUGUUUUACCUAUGAGUCUAGUACCCUCUAGACCUCAUUUUAAAGCUUGGUGACCUAUAACUAAAUCAUGAUCUGGGUUAGGCUUGGUUUCAGUGGCCAAAGUAACCAAUGCAGAUGUGAAGAAUCUACCAUACACAUGUCCUCUGAUAAUGAGAUGAAUCGUGUUUGGGUGGUACUUGUCCAGUUUUUCAGUUGUCUUCAUGUUUGGAAACUCUGGUUUACAUAGACAACUCGAAGAAAAGGGUGUUUGCCCCUGCAGGCACACCACUGAAUGUGCACUUGAAAUGGGAUGAGCUCUGCUGUAUAAAUGGCUAGAGCAGGCAGUGAAAUUAGUACAUCCAAUUGAA